UCCAUCGAUCAACAUCAAAGUUUGGCGAGUGGCAAAGGGCUUGGUGGUUGGUAUCCGAGACCCAAGUUCGAAUCCUAGUUGAUUCACAUUUUCAGCUAAGUUUAUUUCUAAAUGAAAUAAACGAAACGGGUAGCGUGCUUUACCUAUCCCUCAAAAAAACAUUAAAGUUUGGCCAAUCCUCAAACAUACACGGCUGGAAUUGGCUUAGAAUACUAUCGGUAGCCAACUGAUUUCGUUGUUAUUAAUUUAUAUUCGAUAAUAGAGCCACCAAAUUAACAAUCGGUACUAUUGAAUAUGAUUUAGACCACUUAAAUUAUUUAAAAAUUAAAUUUUGUAUUUCUCUAAUGUUGUUCUCUUGGGUAUCAAGUGAAGACAAGAAUGAAGGGCUGAAAUUAACUAUUAUUCAAAAAAGCAACGAUAGUAUUUUUAUACUGAAUAUGAAGUGUGUAGAUUUUAUUUUAAAUAGUUUAAAAAAUUUUCUAAUAAAAAUCUAAUUAAUUUUGAUUCGUUUACACCAUUAAACUUGCAAAGGCCUUGUAUUGACCAUUAAAAUAAUAAAUUUUGCAAUUAUUUGAUCAUUAGGUCAAUAAUGCCAAAAAAGUUUAAAAUUUGGUUUCUAAAUACUUCAAAAUAGUCUAGAUGAUAUUCUCCGGUACCGAUCAUCGAUUUGAAGCCUACAUCAUCGAAAUAAAUUAUUUUUCAUGCUACUUGUUUUGUUUAUUUCUUUUAAAAAUAAAUUUAACAGAAAAUAUGAAACAACUAGGCUUCGAACUUAGGACCUCGAAUACCAACCACCAAACCUUUCGCCACUUGCGUUGGGGACCGUCAGUCAAAUAAUGAAUUGUUAGCAAUAAAACACGUUUGCUACAUAGAGUGUUGUUGGGCUACUAUCAAUAGUAAAUGACUUUGUUUGCUGUCGAUUUGUUUUCGAUAAUAGAGCUUAUAAAUCAACGAUCAGCAUCGUUGAAUAUGAUCUAGACUAUUUGAACUAUUUAGAAAUCAAAUUUUAUGCUUUUUCAAUAUCACCUACUAAACGAUCAAAAGGUCACAAAAUUUGUAAUUUUAAUACCAAUACGGCACAUUUGCUCGUUUUAACAGUAUAGAAGAGUCCAAAUCAACUGAAUUUUUAUUAGAGAGUUCUUUAAAGUAUUGAAAAUAAGAUCUAGACUGUAAAUCUUUUCAAUAUUAAAAUUGUAUCAUUACUUUUUAAAGAUUAUUUAUUUUUUGUCCACUUAAAAGACAAGAAAAUAAUAUCAGAAAAGUAUGAAAUUUAAUUUUCAGAUAGUUUAAAUGAUUUAAAUUAUGUUCAACAAAAUAAUAUCAGAAAAGUAUAAAAUUUAAUGUUCUGAUAGUUUAAAUGACCUAAAUCAUAUUCAACGAUACUGAUUCUUGAUUUGAAAACUCUAUCAUCGAAAAUAAAUUAAUCCAACCGCGCGUGUACUAUCAAUAAUAACAUAGCAAAACACACACACACACACACUCUCUCUCUCUCUCUCUCUCUAUAUAUAUAUAUAUAUU
rnacentral:lncRNA from 1 species